AAAAAUUUAGUUAAAAUAUAACAUUAGUAUGUCAAGCUAAAAUAACUAAAAUUAGUAAUUUUUA
rnacentral:tRNA from 1 species